rnacentral:rRNA from 1 species
UGCGAGUACAGCUGGUACGAGCCGGCAUNCGCAUAAACGGCCGCCAGUGUGCUGGCAUCGCCGUACUGGUUGAUCCUGCCAGUAGUCAUAUGCUUGUCUCAAAGACUAAGCCAUGCAUGUCUAAGUAUAAAUGUUAUACAGUGAAACUGCGAAUGGCUCAUUAAAACAGUUAUAGUUUAUUUGAUAAUCGAAUUUACAUGGAUAACCGUGGUAAUUCUAGAGCUAAUACAUGCUGGUUAGCCUGACUUUUAGGAAGGGCUGUAUUUAUUAGAUAACAAACCAAUAUUCCUUGUGUCUAUUGUGACGACUCAUAAUAACUGAUCGAAUCGCAUGGCCUUUGGCCGCGAUAAAUCAUUCAAGUUUCUGCCCCAUCAGCUUUCGAUGGUAGUGUAUUGGACUACCAUGGCUUUAACGGGUAACGGAGGAUUAGGGUUCGAUUCCGGAGAGGGGGCCUGAGAAACGGCUACCACAUCUAAGGAAGGCAGCAGGCGCGUAAAUUACCCAAUCGCGACUCGCGGAGGUAGUGACAAGAAAUAACGGACCGAAGCCUAUGUUUCGGGAUUGCAAUGAGUAGAAUUUAAACCCCUUUACGAGGAUCAAUUGGAGGGCAAGUCUGGUGCCAGCAGCCGCGGUAAUUCCAGCUCCAAUAGCGUAUAUUAAAGUUGUUGCAGUUAAAAAGCUCGUAGUUGGACUUCUGGGAGGUUGUCAAUGUCCGCUUGUUAGCGUGUGCAGCGACGGCCUUCCAUCCUUCUGUUAACGUUUCUUGGUAUUCAUUUACUGGUUUCGGGCUCAGAUAUUUUACCUUGAGAAAAUUAGAGUGUUUCAGGCAGGCUUGCGCCGGAAUACAUUAGCAUGGAAUAAUAGAAUAGGACUUUUGUCUCCUUUGUUGGUUUGAGGGACUGAAGUAAUGAUUAAUAGGGAUAGUUGGGGGCAUUAGUAUUUAAUUGUCAGAGGUGAAAUUCUCGGAUUUGUUAAAGACUAACUUAUGCGAAAGCAUUUGCCAAGGAUGUUUUCAUUAAUCAAGAACGAAAGUUAGGGGAUCAAAGACGAUCAGAUACCGUCCUAGUCUUAACCAUAAACUAUGCCGACUAGGGAUCGGAGGCGCGCUAUAUCCGCCUUCGGCACCUUAUGAGAAAUCAAAGUCUUUGGGUUCUGGGGGGGGUAUGGUCGCAAGGCUGAAACUUAAAGGAAUUGACGGAAGGGCACCACCAGGAGUGGAGCUUGCGGCUCAAUUUGACUCAACACGGGAAAACUUACCAGGUCCAGACAUAGUGAGGAUUGACAGAUUGAUAGCUCUUUCUUGAUUCUAUGGGUGGUGGUGCAUGGCCGUUCUUAGUUGGUGGAGUGAUUUGUCUGGUUAAUUCCGUUAACGAACGAGACCUUAGCCUACUAACUAGUCGACUCAAUCUCGAUUGAUUCCGACUUCUUAGAGGGACUUUGUGGGUUAAACACAAGGAAGUUUGAGGCAAUAACAGGUCUGUGAUGCCCUUAGAUGUCCUGGGCCGCACGCGUGCUACACUGACACAUACAGCGAGUACUUCCCAGCUCCGAGAGGCAGCUGGUAAUCAGCAAUAUGUGUCGUGAUGGGGAUAGAUCUUUGGGAAUAUAGAUCUUGAACGAGGAAUUUCCCUAGUCAGCGCAAGUCAUUACCUUGCGCUGAUUAAUGUCCCUGCCCUCUUGUACACACCGCCCGUCGCUCUUACCGAUUUCGAGUGGUCCGGUGAACCUUUUGGACCGCGCCGAGUAUCGUGCUUGCUGUGGGAAAUCAAGUAAACCAUAUCACCUAGAGGAAGGAGAAGUCGUAACAAGGUAUUCCGUAGGUGAACCUGCA